GACAUAACACCAAGUGGGAUUGUAAUUUUAUGUCCUGCAUGAUUGCCUCUAGCUAGCUGAAAGGUGAUAUUGGUAAGAUACAUGGAGGAAUAGUGCGACACAAGCCAGUACCCUAUUUCAAGCAAUCCCUACGGUUUCUCUUAAAUCUCCUCUAUUUCUUUCCAACCUUUUUUACCAACCCCGGCCUGAACCAAAUCUCAGUACUUCAACAAAUGGGGUGGUUCAAGUCCCUCCUCUCCCCAUUGAAGAAAAUCUGGGAUCGUCUGCACUCCAGCCAUAGAAAGAGGAAUGGAAUUUAUAUAUUGUACAAGGACGUGAUGUCCUGCCCAUGCGAAGAUGUGCAGGUUUUAUGGUCAAUACUGGUGGAGUCACGAACACCUUCUAUGGCAUGAUCAAUAUAUAGCCUGAUCACAUGAUGUUUAGGUCUCUGAUCUUGGCAUAAUCCAGCAAACCAUAUGUAAAACAGGUCGAUCAUGUACGAGAUAGAUUAAUACUUCAUGCAUGUGUACAUAAAUAUAUGCUACAUUAUACUUACGGGUGAUCCGAACA